UACAGAGGGGGCAAGCGUUAUUCGGAAUUACUGGGCGUAAAGCGCACGCAGGUGGCUGAGUCAGUCGAUUGUGAAAGCCCUGGGCUUAACCUGGGAAUUGCAGUCGAUACUACUCAGCUAGAGUAUGGGAGAGGGCAGUGGAAUUCCCGGUGUAGCGGUGAAAUGCGUAGAUAUCGGGAGGAACAUCAGUGGCGAAGGCGGCUGCCUGGCCCGAUACUGACACUCAGGUGCGACAGCGUGGGGAGCAAACAGG
rnacentral:rRNA from 1 species